UACGUAGGGGCCGAGCGUUGUCCGGAGUUAUUGGGCGUAAAGCGCGCGCAGGCGGCCUCGCGCGCCCGACGUGAAAGCCCCCGGCUUAACCGGGGAGGGUCGUUGGGGACGGCGGGGCUUGAGGGCGGGAGAGGGUGGUGGAAUUCCACGUGUAGCGGUGAAAUGCGUAGAGAUGUGGAGGAACACCAGUGGCGAAGGCGGCUUUUUGGUCUGUAACUGACGCUGAGGCGCGAAAGCGUGGGGAGCAAACAGG
rnacentral:rRNA from 1 species